UAAGACGAACCGUGCGAACGUUGUUCGGAAUCACUGGGCUUAAAGGGCGCGUAGGCGGGCCGCCAAGUCUGUGGUGAAAUCCCCCGGCUCAACCGGGGAACUGCCGUGGAUACUGGAGGUCUCGAGGGAGGUAGGGGCAUGCGGAACUACGGGUGGAGCGGUGAAAUGCGUUGAUAUCCGUAGGAACUCCGGUGGCGAAGGCGGCGUGCUGGACCUCUUCUGACGCUGAGGCGCGAAAGCCAGGGGAGCGAACGGGAUUAGAUACCCCGGUAGUCCUGGCCCUAAACGAUGGGAACUAGGUUGUAGGCUAGACAUGGGCUUACAGCCGAAGCAAAAGUGCUAAGUUCCCCGCCUGGGGAGUAUGGUCGCAAGGCUG
rnacentral:rRNA from 1 species